UGCGCAGGCGGGCUUGUAAGUCAGUGGUGAAAUACUGCCGCUUAACGGGAGAACUGCCAUUGAUACUGCGAGUCUUGAAUAUGGUUGAGGUAGGCGGAAUGUGUUGUGUAGCGGUGAAAUGCAUAGAUAUGACACAGAACGCCAAUUGCGAAGGCAGCUUACUAAGCCAUUAUUGACGCUGAGGCACGAAAGCGUGGGGAGCGAACAGGAUUAGAUACCCUGGUAGUCC
rnacentral:rRNA from 1 species